GGGGGGGGGGGGGGUAGAAAGAGGAAUGCUGACAUGUCAUGAUGGGUGGAUUCCACAUAAUAAUUCCAAUUUAAAAAAUCCCCUCACACACCAUGUAAUAUUUGUGUCUCACCCGUCGUAAAACUUCUCCUUCUCGAGAGGCGCCUCAAGAAAAUUGCACUGUUUAGUCUCUUCAAGAAUCAGAAACAAUCUAGGUUCCAACAAUCUCACCCUUCCAUCUUCUGGAAAACAGGUUAGUAGCAUCUUCCCUCUCAAAAAGUGGUAAUACUCCAACUCUUUCUUAUUAAAGCUAUUUCAAUUUGCUCAGUAAAUUUGCAAAGCUACUGUCAGCACAAGUUGCAUAUGUUUUUUUGAAAUGUUAUACGCCACCAUCUAUUUGAUAUGCAUGUUAUAAACAAACUUGGAACCACAAAUUGUAUUACUAUUCUUUUAUUUCUUCUUUGUCCCUAUAACCGUCCAGAUUCAGCGCACAUGGUGACUGAAAAAGAAUUAUCAAACAAAUAUGUACCUAUAAGAAAAAUACCAAAGUAUUCAUUGCAAUGGGUCAUGAAAGUAUUGGUCACUAGACGGGGUUCAAUAAUACCUUACAAGAAUCCUCGUCAUGAAGGCAUUUUCAGAACUGUCAUAUUAGUCGAUGAGGAGGGGACAAAGAUCCAGGAACCCUAUUUAAAAACAUGUUGAAACAUGGAAGGAGUUCCUGAAACCAAAUAAGAGCUACUACAUUAUCAUGGUCGUUUGGAUCGCGUCAGCCCCAACUACUCCUCCGUGCACAAAGAAGUUGAAUUGGCUUUCACCGAUAACACGAUAGUAAAGGAGUCCGUGCAUGACGUUCCCACAACAAAUUCUCAAAUGUCCCUUAAUUCAUGAAGUGCACAGGGAGACAGGCUUGAUCCAUAGCCGCUUAUCCAGAGAUUGCAUAGCAGAGCUCCAUUUCUUUCGGAGCCGCAGCUUUUGGGUAUUCAUUCUUUUGUGUAAAUAAUUAUGGGCAUAGCGGGGUCCUGUCCCGCUCAUACGAUAUGUCAUACUCUUAGAGGCUCGUAGUCAUGUGUAUGUGGGUAGAGAUGUUCGGCCAUGUCGGCCCAUGUUUUGUAUAUCUUUUGUUGGCCUCGUCGGCCUUGUACUUACGAUGUGGCAUAGAUGCCUAUGAUAUGUUAAAUGAUGAUGGUCGUCUAAUGGGAUCAAUAUGAUUAACGAUAAGAGAAGCACGAAUUGACUUAUGGUUCA